UUUGGACAUUCGAGAGGUCCAGUGCUCUCCUAUGUGUUUCCACCAAUUUUCUGCAUAUCAUUUCUCUUCCCUCUAGCUCUGUUUUAUAGACUUGGCUCCAUAAAAACUUUGCUAUAGUUAAGUAUCUCUAAGUUGUUUUCCUUUUCUGCCCUUAUGGUUUUCUUGCGUCUAUUGUAUGUUAACUGAAUAGGCGGCUUAUCAAUACUCCCCUCCUCCCCAUACGAAACUCACCUUGUCCUCAAGGUGAAACUCCGAGAACUGUUGCUGCAGUAGGUCAUAAGGCUCCCAAGUUGCCUCCAAAGGAGUUAGUCCUUUCCACUGGAUUAACACAUCAAUGCCUCUAAUAUUACUUCAUGUUCCUGGCCGAACUCCUAGCACCAUUUCGGGUUCCACUAACAUUUCCAAACUCUCAGUCAAGUGUGUCAGAAUAUCUAUGACAACUUGGGGUUCCCAUUCAGCCUUUCUUAACUAAGACACAUGAGAGAUUGGAUAUAUGUUACAAAAUGGAGGAAGUGACAAUUUGUACGCCACAGUUCCCACCUUACAUUCAAUUGCGUAUAGCCCAUAAUACCUUGAAGAUGGGGA
rnacentral:lncRNA from 1 species